rnacentral:rRNA from 1 species
AGUGAACGCUGGCGGUAGGCCUAACACAUGCAAGUCGAACGGCAGCACAGUAAGAGCUUGCUCUUACGGGUGGCGAGUGGCGGACGGGUGAGGAAUACAUCGGAAUCUUCUUUUUCGUGGGGGAUAACGUAGGGAAACUUACGCUAAUACCGCAUACGACCUACGGGUUAAAGCAGGGGAUCUUCGGACCUUGCGCGAUUGAAUGAGCCGAUGUCGGAUUAGCUAGUUGGCUGGGUAAAGGCCCACCAAGGCGACGCUACGUAGCUGGUCUGAGAGGAUGAUCGGCCACACUGGAACUGAGACACGGUCCAGACUCCUACGGGAGGCAGCAGUGGGGAAUAUUGGACAAUGGGCGCAAGCCUGAUCCAGCCAUACCGCGUGGGUGAAGAAGGCCUUCGGGUUGUAAAGCCCUUUUGUUGGGAAAGAAAAGCAGCAGGUUAAUACCCCGCUGUUCUGACGGUACCCAAAGAAUAAGCACCGGCUAACUUCGUG